GACGAACGCUGGCGGCGUGCCUAAUACAUGCAAGUAGAACGCUGAAGGAGGAGCUUGCUUCUCUGGAUGAGUUGCGAACGGGUGAGUAACGCGUAGGUAACCUGCCUGGUAGCGGGGGAUAACUAUUGGAAACGAUAGCUAAUACCGCAUAAGAGUAGAUGUUGCAUGACAUUUGCUUAAAAGGUGCAAUUGCAUCACUACCAGAUGGACCUGCGUUGUAUUAGCUAGUUGGUGGGGUAACGGCUCACCAAGGCCACGAUACAUAGCCGACCUGAGAGGGUGAUCGGCCACACUGGGACUGAGACACGGCCCAGACUCCUACGGGAGGCAGCAGUAGGGAAUCUUCGGCAAUGGACGGAAGUCUGACCGAGCAACGCCGCGUGAGUGAAGAAGGGUUUCGGAUCGUAAAGCUCUGUUGUAAGAGAAGAACGAGUGUGAGAGUGGAAAGUUCACACUGUGACGGUAUCUUACCAGAAAGGGACGGCUAACUACGUG
rnacentral:rRNA from 1 species